CUCAUCGCCUUUGCCAUUGGGCAAAUCGCCGAGUUCAUCGGUCCUAAAGGGUCUCUCAUGAUCGCCGCAGUUCCCAAACAUCAUUGGGUGGCUUGCAAUAUCAUUUGCAAAUGACUCCGUAUUUUUGUUCAUGGGCCGAUUGUUGGAAGGGUUUGGGAUUGGUGUGAUUCCUACACAGUCUGUAUCCCUAUUCUCCUAACCUUGUAAACAAAUUCACUCCAGAGUUCAAACAUGAAUGAUAAUGCGUUUGCUUUCUUACUGUUGUGUUGUUGCUAUGGCCUAUGAUAUGAUUGUUUCCCCUAGCGUAAUCAUAAUCCAACAAUAUUUCUAUCUGUUCGGUCUUUGUACAGAAAAGAACAAGAACACCAAAAUAAUAUCUAGACCAAAGGAACUUAAUUAGCCUAUAAGAAGAACUGAAAAUGCCGACAU